UGACCCCAGGUCAGGCGGGACUACCCGCUGAGUUUA
rnacentral:rRNA from 2 species